UACAGAGGGGGCAAGCGUUGUUCGGAAUUACUGGGCGUAAAGGGCUCGUAGGUGGUCAACUAAGUCGGACGUGAAAUCCCUCGGCUUAACCGGGGAACUGCGUCCGAUACUGGAUGACUUGAGUUCGGGAGAGGGAUGCGGAAUUCCAGGUGUAGCGGUGAAAUGCGUAGAUAUCUGGAGGAACACCGGUGGCGAAGGCGGCAUCCUGGACCGACACUGACGCUGAGGAGCGAAAGCGUGGGGAGCAAACAGG
rnacentral:rRNA from 1 species